UUUGUUAACUUUUUUAUUAUUCCCCUCUUAUUCGCAUUCGAAUUAAUUAACGACAAUAGUACCUACGAACUUCUUUGAUAUCCUACGAAUCCACACGAUGAAGGGUAUGAAGGAUAGAUUCGUAAUUAAAUGCAUUCGCUCGCAUGUUCCCUUUUGUAUCCUUCUCUCUCUCUCUCUCUAUUUUUCUCUCUCUUACUUUCAGAUGAGAAAAUUAUAUAGAGAUAGAGAAAGAAAUAGUUAGAUAAAAAACAAAAAAAAAAAACAAGAAGAGUAAGUAUCUUUACCCACAAUGUCCAUGUGUUUUAGUGUCAAAGGUGAAAGCUCGAGAUGUGCCAGUUUUAGGUCAUAGCUUUUUACCCUAGCAAUGAAAUGGUUUGAAAUGAAUCCUCGUGAGAGAAUGAUGAAAGAAAGAAAGAAAGAGUAUAAUGCGAUAGAUCGAUUUCAACGUGAUCGGACAAGUUCUUUUGAAAGAUUCGAAUGAAAAAAAAAUAAAAAAAAAGAUCGUGAAAAGUUAGAUGCGUGAUGAUAAAAUGGCCGACGCAGCGUAUUUUACAAUCAGCUUUUAGAA
rnacentral:lncRNA from 1 species